UACGGAGGGUGCAAACGUUGCUCGGAAUCAUUGGGCGUAAAGAGCGCGCAGGCGGCUGGUCAAGUCAGAUGUGAAAGCUCCCGGCUUAACUGGGAAAUUGCAUCGGAAACUGAUUGGCUGGAAGGUGGGAGAGGGUAGCGGAAUUCCCGGUGUAGUGGUGAAAUGCGUAGAUAUCGGGAGGAACACCAGUGGCGAAAGCGGCUACCUGGCCCAUUCUUGACGCUGAGGCGCGAAAGCUAGGGGAGCAAACGGG
rnacentral:rRNA from 1 species